CGGGGGGUGGGGGGGGGGCAGCCCCGCGCGCGGCCGCACUCACCCCACAGUGAUAGACCUUGUUGGCCCGCUUGAUCUUUAUGUCCAGAGCGGUGCCCAUCGUAGCCGCCGCGUGCUAUCACGUGGCCGCGCUGCCCCAGCCCCUCCCUCCGGUCACGUGACCUCCCCCCCCCCCCGGGAGGAAUUCCGCCCUGGUCGUCCUCUUCCGCCUGCGGCCAGGCGGGGGGAUGGAGGGAAGAGGGAGGAUUCUUUCCCAUGAACAUCCGGGUCACCCGCGGCGCCAUUUCUCAGCUGGUGACGCCGCUUACCGUUCUGCUCCGCCCGCUCCCCGGUAGUCAUAGCAACAGGAAGGGGUAGCGGCCACAACUGUGGGGAGGGUGGAGGUCUUCUCGUCAGGCACGCGGAGCCUUGCCGUCGCGGAGGGGCCGAAGGGGGAGGGGUGGAGCUGAGAAGCCGGUGAAGAGAGACACACUCUGAGGACUACAGGUCCCAGCAUGCUGGAGCAUGGCCCGCUGGGAUCCGCCGGGCUUGCUGCCAGGGCGGGAGAAGCCGCCGGGCAUGCUGGGACUUGUAGGAGGCGGCCGCGGGGAGGUGGUGGGCGCUUGCGUUGCUGCGCAUGCGCAGGCCCCUUAGCCGUAACGGUCGCGCUGAAUGCGCGGGGGCCUGGCGCGUGCGCAGCCGUUGCUCCGGAGCGGCGCGCGGCGGCUGUUGGGGGAAGUGGGGGUUGCCGCUGGUGGAGGCGGCUGCUCGCCUUUUGGGGUAGUGCGCGUGGGCUUGGUGAAUCUCGGGAACGGACAGAUGGACAGACGGUCACCGUGCAUUGAUAUCGGAGAGACCACCUAGCCAGGCGUGUCUUCCGCGUUUUUAACGGUAGUGGUGGUGGUGUCGGAUAGCGGUCCGCCCCGUUCCGCGGCUUGGCCGGGGCACCCUGGAGGUGGCAGCUCGCCUCCCGCCCGUGCCUGGCUUCGCUGCGACGCUGCAGGUUGGCACUUCCUCUUCGGCCCCUGCGUCCGAGGCGGCUCCAUUUCUGUGCUGUGGUAAAACCAAGAGGUCAUAAGCAUUUGUGUAUUAACCGCUACAGUAACAGCAGAGGAGAAGGAAAGGCCGAGCAUCAACAACAACAACAGUCUGUAAAUGUAUACUUCUGGCUACAUGGAAGAAUGAUCAGACUUUUAUGUUUGCCUCAACACAAAGCUGAAAUCUUUGAAAUACUUGCCUACAGAACAGCAGUAACUUAAGAAAUUCAGUGGGAUAACUUGUACAGCACUGCAGAGACAGAUCGUCAGCUGCUAACUCAGCAGAACUUGGCAUGACUGAGAAUGUCAGUGGAGAAAGAAUCCUUCAAUGGCUGAGAAGAAAACUUCUGUAUUGCCAGAAAGAUGCAAAGUAACUCUUCUCAAAGGGCAUCCUCUACUGGCUGUUGCUGGAAACCAGAUACCAAACUAGAUGAUUUUUAAAUUCACAGUAUGACAGUUUUUCAUACAUAUAUUAUAGAGAAGAGAAGAUUCAGAGGCCAUGGAAGCAAAGUUCAUAAAUACUUGUAUAUGGUAGAACAUGGCAUAAUACUACGAUGCAGCCUGAAUUAAACCUUUCCAUUCAGUUGCAUAAAGGUAACCUGAGAACAGACUGUACAGAAAGAAAAUGCUCAUCUUACCUCAGCUGUUUGCACAUUCACCAUAUUAUAAGGCUUGCUGCACUGAACUGUAUUAGCUAAGGUUGUAGAUGGGUAUCCUUUCUAAACUCCCCUUUUUGUUAUUUAAAAAAUCCAGCACAGGAACUUUGUGUGCUUUGUUUCAACUCAAGAAUUAUUGGGAACUUAAGCAAAAUCAGUUAUUUUUUACAUAUAUAUCAUGAAGGAAAAUAUAUUUUCUGUUAAUCUCCAAUUGAAAUGUCACACAAUCAUAAUGCAAAAGAUGAAGAGUGGCAUGUGCGGCCAUUAAGGAAAAGAAAACAAUCUAAGUCUGAAGAAAAAUCAGUAUUUUUGAUGGUACAAAUAUUUAAAACUGAAAUAUCUAUACUGAUGAAGUAAAACACACUAUUCUUUCUAGGCAACAUAUAGCUGAAGUUGUUUACAGUGCUAUAUGAAUAUCAAGCUGCUUUAGUACUGAAGUACCCUCAUCACAAAGCUUCCUUGUGCUGUUAGCAAUGGCCUUAAAUAAAGGACUUUUGAUACUCACUA